rnacentral:rRNA from 1 species
UGCAGUCGAGCGGAUGAGGGGGCUUGCUCCUGGAUUCAGCGGCGGACGGGUGAGUAAUGCCUAGGAAUCUGCCUGGUAGUGGGGGAUAACGUCCGGAAACGGGCGCUAAUACCGCAUACGUCCUGAGGGAGAAAGUGGGGGAUCUUCGGACCUCACGCUAUCAGAUGAGCCUAGGUCGGAUUAGCUAGUUGGUGGGGUAAAGGCCUACCAAGGCGACGAUCCGUAACUGGUCUGAGAGGAUGAUCAGUCACACUGGAACUGAGACACGGUCCAGACUCCUACGGGAGGCAGCAGUGGGGAAUAUUGGACAAUGGGCGAAAGCCUGAUCCAGCCAUGCCGCGUGUGUGAAGAAGGUCUUCGGAUUGUAAAGCACUUUAAGUUGGGAGGAAGGGCAGUAAGUUAAUACCUUGCUGUUUUGACGUUACCAACAGAAUAAGCACCGGCUAACUUCGUGCCAGCAGCCGCGGUAAUACGAAGGGUGCAAGCGUUAAUCGGAAUUACUGGGCGUAAAGCGCGCGUAGGUGGUUCAGCAAGUUGGAUGUGAAAUCCCCGGGCUCAACCUGGGAACUGCAUCCAAAACUACUGAGCUAGAGUACGGUAGAGGGUGGUGGAAUUUCCUGUGUAGCGGUGAAAUGCGUAGAUAUAGGAAGGAACACCAGUGGCGAAGGCGACCACCUGGACUGAUACUGACACUGAGGUGCGAAAGCGUGGGGAGCAAACAGGAUUAGAUACCCUGGUAGUCCACGCCGUAAACGAUGUCGACUAGCCGUUGGGAUCCUUGAGAUCUUAGUGGCGCAGCUAACGCGAUAAGUCGACCGCCUGGGGAGUACGGCCGCAAGGUAAAACUCAAUGAAUUGACGGGGCCCGCACAGCGGUGGAACAUGUGGUUAAUUCGAAGCACGCGAAAACCUACCUGGCUUGACUGCUGAGACUUUCC